AUCCUUCUGUGGUUCAGAAUUGUAAUGAAUGGAUUUUCACAGUAUCGUGUAAGAUGCUCCCUUAAACCUUGUUAUGACAUUGGUACAUUACUGGCAUGGCA
ensembl:snoRNA